rnacentral:rRNA from 1 species
GUUCCUACGGAGGCAGCAGUGAGGAAUAUUGGUCAAUGGACGAGAGUCUGAACCAGCCAAGUCGCGUGAAGGAUGACUGCCCUAUGGGUUGUAAACUUCUUUUAUAUGGGAAUAAAGUUUUCCACGUGCGGAAUUUUGUAUGUACCAUAUGAAUAAGGAUCGGCUAACUCCGUGCCAGCAGCCGCGGUAAUACGGAGGAUCCGAGCGUUAUCCGGAUUUAUUGGGUUUAAAGGGAGCGUAGGUGGAUUGUUAAGUCAGUUGUGAAAGUUUGCGGCUCAACCGUAAAAUUGCAGUUGAAACUGGCA